rnacentral:hammerhead_ribozyme from 1 species
AUCCAGCUGACGAGUCACAAAUAAAACGAAACGCGCGUCCUGGAU